UCCGUGUAUAAUCUUUCCUUCAAGUCUCACUUCAUCUCGUGUUUUUUCAUGGCUGCCAACGUUCUAUCAGUUGAGAAACUCGUUGAUCCAGUGUUGGUCUUAUUGCUGUGGUGACAUGUGCCUAAAAACCAGCGAGCAGGAACAAUCAGCUGGGGUCUGCGCUCGGAACCAAAUAUCAUCCCGCAGUAUUUGUACAGAAGCCACAGAAGGUGGGUGCAUGUUUAGAAUCGAGCCUGUGCAGCGCCCACUCGAACCCCAUCGGCCUGAUGGCGCGUCACGUCGGGCUCGAGACAGACGAGCGGCCACCUACUACCUACUUGGCCAGCCAGGAGCACAUCAAAGCUGGAGCCGCUGCCCCCGAGCUGAGAUGAGGCGGAGGCCGGAGUGACUGUAGAGGCGGGAGUCGGGUCACGCUGCUCUGGAGCUGCAGGGUCCGGUUUAUGAGAGCAAAACAAAGCGGUUACAGACCGGUGGAGGGACGAGACUGAUACCCGGACAACGUGAGGUUUGGCUCCGUUCGAUUGGACGUUCAAAUGGAAACCACACUUGUUUUUUUUUUUUCAUUUCCGAGUCACGCAGCCUCUCUCUAAUUUUCGAUUCUGCUGCAAUUUGCAGUUUUAUUUUGAACCCGUUUAAACGAGGCAAAUCCGAAGCCGCGCAACCCACAGAGACCUGCCUCUUGAAGCCUCCUUGACUCACACCCUCUCUCGCUCUCUCUCUCCCUCGCUCUCUCGCCGGCUCGUCUCGUCUUUCAUGUGUGUCAGUGUGCAGGCGUAUCUCCACUUUGAGGAUGCUAUCACAGGGCUCCUUCUUGGCCCCGGGCGGGAUCUGAUGGAGAAGCCGGAGCGCAGACAGAACAGACUCGCCUCGACAGCGCGAUGAAUGAGCCUGAGUGAUGGAGGGAGAUGAAGUGAGCCCAGAAGUGAUUCCGCCGAGGAGAGAGAUGAAAAUGGGGGAGAAUGGGAGCUGAGACGUGGCCGAGCGAGCGGGAUGGGGUUCUUUUGUGCUGUCAGCAUGAGGGUGUGCUCAUCUCACUACUGCACAUCAAGAAUUACUAAGAAAAGUUUGGAAAAGAAUUUGGCUACAGUGGUUUCACCUGCUUAAAUACAGUAACUGAGAGGCUUUAUAAAACCAUCCAUGACUGCUCUUGUCAACAGGAUGUUUGGAAUCUGUUUGUGCUAAAAAGAAGUGUAGCUUCACAGAGUAUUGUGCCUUGAAGCGAUCUGGCAGUGGGACGCCUCCUGUUUGUAUCCAGCGAUUCAGGCUCUUUGGAUUAAUGGGGGCAUUACUGUCAAAAUGCUUAAUGUUGCACCUACGAGCAGUUCGCACAACAAGUGAGUCUCAAAGAAGCGGCUUUAAGAGAAGCGCCCCCUUGCCAAGGAUUGAGUGAGAGAUCGAUAGCGUUCAUUAGGUGCAGAGCUGGAGCAGGGAGGCCAUUAACUUAGCUUAGCGCGGAAAAACUGGAAGCAAAGACAACGACCUCCACAAUAUGCAAAGCCAAAAACACAUGCGCAACAACAACAGCAACAGCACAUUUUUAGCUGAGACCUUUCUGUGGUAUCAACAACAACAACUCAACAUAGUUGAGGAUUCUCCAGAAUGUUUUUUUUUCCUUCUUAAUUAUUAACAGAACCAAGACUUUACAUGACAUCCACUGUGACUUGUAACUUGACUCCCUGUCUAUUUAUUUGCUCAUUUUUGUUGUGGUCUGUGAUUGUGUUACUUUAGUCUUGACAUUAACGAAUUAUAUCCAUUUUUGGACAAUAUCCAAUAAACUUGUGUUUCUGUUUUUUUCUGGAGUAUUU
ensembl:lncRNA